GGGGCUGUAAUUUCGGGGUGGUUUUGGAGAUUUUUGGGCUGUAAUUUCAGGCUGGUUUUUGUGGGUUUUUUGGGCUGGUUUUGGGGAUUUUGGGGCUGUAAUUUCAGGCUGGUUUUUGCGGGUUUUUUGGGCUGGUUUUGGGGAUUUUGGGGCUGUAAUUUUGGGCUGGUUUGGGGUUUUUUGGGCGGGUUUUGGGGUUUUUUGUGCUGUAAUUUCAGGCUGUUUUUUGGUGAUUUUUGGGCUGGUUUUGGGGAUUUUGGGGCUGUAAUUUCAGACUGGUUUGGGGUUUUUUGGCUGUUUUUUGGGUUUUUGGGGCUCCCUGACCCCUUCUCCCCUCCCCAGGCGGCCUCGGGGCUGGAGCCGCCGCCGGAGCCGCGCCCGAGCCCCCCGGACGACCCCGACCCCCCCUCGGACCCGGAGCUGCUGCGGGGGGAGAGCGCCGAGCUGCUGGGACCAGGUGACCCAAAAACCCCCAAAUUCGCCCCAAAAUUGCCCCAAAACCCCCCAAAUCACCCCAAAAUCGCCCCCAGAAGCCCAAAAUUGCCCCAAAAUCGGCCCAAAAACCCUUAAAAAAAACCAAAUUCCCACAAAAUCAAAAAAAAAAUCCCCCCAAAAAUCCAAAUUGCCCCCAGAAUCCCAAAAUCGCCCCCAAAACCCCCCAAAUCACACCAAGAUCCCCAAAAUCAGCCCAAAACUCCCAAAUCAGCCCAAAAACCCUGAAAAAAAAACCCCAGAUUCCCACAAAAUAUAAAAAAAUCCCUCAAAAACCCGAAAUCGCCCCCAAAAACCCCAAUCCUCCCAAAAAAACCCACAUCUCCCAAAAUUGCCCCCAAAUCGCCAAAUUCCCCCAAAAAUCCCAAAAUUCCCCCAAAAUCCCUGCAAAAUCCUAAAAUUCCCCCAAAAUCCCAGAAUUCCCCCAAAAUCCCCGCAAACUCCCUCCAAAAAAACCCAAAUCCUGCCCAAAAAUCCCAAAUUACCCCAAACACCCAAAAAUCCCCCCAAAAUCCCCACAAAAAUUCCCAAAUCCCCCCA
rnacentral:lncRNA from 1 species